AUGGGAGGGGAGGCGGGCAUGGUGGAUGCUGCUUAUUGCGCGACAACACAGCACAAGAGUAGUUGUGCAUCAGCUGACCCCAGCGACACUGAGACUGCAGCUGCUCAUGAUGAUGUUAUAUCUGAUCUAUCUGGAAUGAAAGAUAGACUGAAGGGCGUGCUUACACAUUAUGAAGGUACAUUAAAAUGUGCAACAGCCUGGGUUUGCCCACCCUUCUUGGAAGAGGGGCUCUUGUUGGACAAUGUGCCAUUGAAGCCGUGCUAUGUGAAGUGCUACAUGACUGAAGUAAAGCCUGGAUUCAAUGAAUUUGCCCUCAAGAAUGUCCUAGGAGACUUUGAUGAGCAAAGGACCUUGGGAGAAACACUGUUACAUCACAUCUAG
rnacentral:rRNA from 1 species